rnacentral:rRNA from 1 species
UACGAGGGGGGCGAGCGUUUGUUCGGGAAUUAUUGGGGCGUAAAGGGUGCGUAGGCGGUUCCGCAAGUCCUGUGUGAAAUCUUCGGGCUCAACUCGAAGUCUGCACGGGAAACUGCGGGGCUUGAGUGUGGGAGAGGUGAGUGGAAUUCCCGGUGUAGCGGUGAAAUGCGUAGAUAUCGGGGAGGAACACCUGUGGCGAAAGCGGCUCACUGGACCAUAACUGACGCUGAUG